GAUGAACGCUAGCUACAGGCUUAACACAUGCAAGUCGAGGGGCAGCACAGUGUAGCAAUACAUGGGUGGCGACCGGCGCACGGGUGCGUAACGCGUAUCCAACCUUCCCGUUACUCAGGGAUAGCCUUCCGAAAGGGAGAUUAAUACCUGAUGGUGUUGAAACUCCGCAUGUUAUUUCAACUAAAGAUUUAUCGGUAACGGAUGGGGAUGCGUGACAUUAGGUAGAUGGCGGGGUAACGGCCCACCAUGCCUACGAUGUCUAGGGGUUCUGAGAGGAAGGUCCCCCACACUGGAACUGAGACAUGGUCCAGACGCCUACGGGAGGCAGCAGUGAGGAAUAUUGGUCAAUGGUCGGAAGACUGAACCAGCCAAGUAGCGUGAAGGAUGAAGGUUCUAUGGAUUGUAAACUUCUUUUAUACGGGAAUAAAACCUCCCACGUGUGGGAGCUUGUAUGUACCGUAUGAAUAAGCAUCGGCUAACUCCGUGCCAGCCGCCGCCGUAACAC
rnacentral:rRNA from 1 species